CAUACACCAAGGGAAUGCUCCUUGCUGUUCCCCAUCAGAACAGAGCUGGGAGACUUUCUGGAGGACGAGAAGGGUUGCUGCCUCAGGUGACAUUCCUAACUUCAGGCCAAGUGUUGGGACGGGCAGCACUCAGCUGCCUAAAGCGCCAGGUGUCUGCCCGGCAGGAAGAGUCGGAAUAGGAAACCCGACAGAAAAACAAAUGGACUGGGACGCACAUGAGCUGAUGGCAUCACUCCUGUCACACUCAUGCAAAGAGUCCAGGGUAAGGAAAGCAGCCGAGUGCCCACAACACAGUAUGUUCUUUUCCUCUGCAAACAGCGUGGAACAGGCAGACCUGUGUGUGGACUGCUGGGGCUGACAUUGAAGUGACCUCUGAAAGCAAACACCCCAAACUGUUAUGUAAACUGCAAUGACUAGACAUUCCCGGCCACCGCAGCACAGAGAGGGCUGUGUUGACAGCCUGGCACCUGGAGGUGGUGAGCCCUUCAGAAGAGAAAGGGCAAGCAAGCAAAUCCUGCCUGACUUUUCAGUGAGGGUUGGGUGAAAUUUUGAGUUUGACUGAGAUGCUCUGCCCCUGGACUCUCGGGGCUCCGACAACGACCCCACACCCUUGACAGAUGACACACGCGACAGAGGGGGGCACUGAGGAGGGAACAGUCAACAGCCUGUGGAGCUGGGGAAGGCACCUGAGAAGAAAGCACACCAGAAUGAGGUCGGAGGGCCUGCUCAUCCCAGAGUGAAGGGCAAAGGCUUUCUUUGAAACAUCUACUUGCUCUUUAAAACAUUCUCAUUUAUGGGCUGGGUGUGGUAGCGCAUGCCUAUAAUCCUAGCAGCUCCGAAGGGUGACCGCGAGUUUAAAGCCAGCCUUGGCAAAAGCGAGGUGCUAAGCAACUCAGUGAGACCUGUCUCUAAAUAAAAUAUAAAAAGGGGGGCUGGGGUUAUGGCUCAGCGGUAGAGUGCUCGCCUAGCAUGUUCGAGUCUCUGGGAUCAAUCCUCAGCACCACAUAAAAAUAAAUAAAAUAAAGGCAUU